ACCACACAGACAAUGGGAUAGACUUUGAGA
rnacentral:piRNA from 1 species